rnacentral:lncRNA from 1 species
GAGGGCAGGGACUGCUUGGACCUGUAUGUAAUGGGGUGCCCAGUGCCUGAUACUGUGCCUAACACAUAGGUGGAGGUCAAAAUAUAUGUUGAAUAAAUCAAUGUAUGAGUUUGUCCAUGAGGGCAAUAAAGGGGAAAACGUAAGGGGAAAAGCAUCCAGAGAAUAGUUCCCACUGGUUUAGGCUAGACAAGCAAUGUACCAAUGUUUUGGUUGCCCCAGAGUCCCUAGUACGGAGCUAUUUCCUACAUCAUUCACCAUCCUGAGCACAGAGACCUUCUGAAGUCUUAUUCCAUUGUUGCCUUUAACAGCAAAGAAAAAAGAAACUUGGAAGCCAGCUCCCUGGAUGUACUGUAUAUCUUUUGAAAACAAAAAGUGGUCUUUGGUCAUUUCAGAGAAAUUUUAAAUUCAUGGUAAUAUGAAAAAGAACUCAUUGUUUAAGAAAAAUAUUUUGGCCAGGCACAGUGGCUCAUGCCUGUAAUUCCAGCACUUUGGGAGGCCAAGGCAUGAGGAACAUUUGAGACCAGGGGUUCAACACUAGCCUGGGCAACAUAGUGAGACCCCCACUUCUACAAAAAAGAAAAAGAAAAAGAAAAUUAUCCAGACAUGGUGGUACAUGCCUGAGGAUAGCUUGAGCCCAGGAGGUUGAGGCUGCAGUGAGUUGAGGAAAAUAAACGUCUCAUUUCUCAUUCCAAAACCACAGGGACACUUUACUACAAAAGUAUGAUUGCACCACUGCACUCCAGCCUGGGCCACAGGAAAAAAAAAAAAAAAAGAAAGAAAAAGAAUAUUUUCAAGGAGUGAAUUAGACUAUAGUUUUGGAAGUCUGAUUCAUCCUUCAUGUAGUGUAUGUUAUGUUGCAUUAGCCAUCUUUCCAUGAAGUUCCAUCACUAGAUAAAUGAAAUUGAGCAUGUCUCUGCAUAGGUUUGGUCCUUCAGAGGUAUUGUUGAUUCUACAAAA